AAACGAGGAAGCGGGCUCUGGCAUAAAAUGACACCAAUGAAAUAACCCAAACAGGCUGGUGUUUCAUGAAAGCCCACCAAAAGGCCCAAGUGCUAACAACCUCACCGCAGUUGCCACUGUGCGUCUGUGCUACCCCCCUAAAAAAACUGUGCUGGCAAAAACCGUACCUUGUACAAAUUUAUUGUCGAGAAUUUUUUGUGCAAGGAAUUUAUUUUCUCCCUCAAGUUAAACAAAAGGGCUAACGGAGUUAUCCAUACAAGCACACACGAAAAGAGAAGAAAAAAAAAACGAUUGCUCAUCUCAACAAGCACAACGGAGCAAGUCCAGACCCGAGUUUGAGCCUCCGCCUGUCAACGGAAUUGACAAGUUUCCUCCUCUCCUUGUUUAUAUCCCAAGAGUCCCUGACCACAGCCAGGUAUGUCUCCCAGCAAAAAUGGUGCUGGGACUUGCUUGUACAGCAAAAAAGCUCUCAUGCGGCUGAUGUUGCCCCCUCCCACUUGUUCACCACCUCUUUCAACUGCUCAAAUCCCUGAAAUGCAACAGACGGGUAAGACAGGAGUAAGCAAGUGUUCUGGGUUGUUGCUAGGCAGUGGGCACAAGUACACUAGCACCUACUACAGGCUAUGUCGACACACAUAUUGCUCAGCUUAGGCAUUUCCCGGUAUCAAAACUAUUGUUAACUGCCAAGCCAUAUCAAUUAGUCCAGCGCUUAUACUGAUGACAACUAACAGAAAGCAACAAUUUAACAAUCUUGCUAGUUUGUACUACCCUCUGUACACUAAUGUNNN
rnacentral:lncRNA from 1 species